AAAUGUGGUCAUUCUGCAAAAUUGUACUCGGUAAUAAGGUUUUCUGCAGUAUCCAAUCACGAAAUUAAUUGCACCAUCAAAAAUGAUGUUUUUAGUCACAAAAGGUUGCGUGAUUUAGCUAGUACUCCUCCAGAUAUAAAAAUCUUAUUGUUCCAUGGCAAGCUGAUAACUGAUAUAUUAUGAAUUAUGAUAUUGUCUGAUAAGUGAUACUCAUUAAAAAUCGGAUACAGAUAUAUCUAUACUUAAAAUUUGGAUUAAACUUAAUUAUAAAUAAAAUUAUUAUUAAAUGAUAUUAUCAUUUAUUAAUAUAAAGUAAAUUUAGAUUAAAAUUCGAAGCAUGUGUUACAGAAGCGCUCUUAUUUAUGAUUUUUGUAAGCAUAUAUCAACAUGAAUAAAUGAUUAUUGAUUCAAGUUAUUGUAUGGAGUGAGUGAGGAUGGGAUCGAUGGACAUAAUGAUAAACAAGUUAUUUGAUAAGAUAUCAAUGGGGGCAUCCCCUUAUACGGAAGUUGUGAAGAAGACCCUUGAUAGUUUGUGGAUAGGUUCUGCAGGAGUGGAAUCCUCUAAGAUAGAGCUAACUCUUACAGCAACCGUUUUGAUCAAUGAGAUUUGCUCAUUCCACGAUCUUCCUCCCUCAGAAAUAGUGAUUGCUGAGGAUGCACUUCCCCUCAACACUCAUUUAAAGGCCGAGUCUAAGAGAUUUGAAGAGGCCAAGGUUGACGACCUUCUGCAUUCGACCUCUAAUAGCUCUUUAAAUCCUUCCAAAGUGGAUGACAUAGAAGAAUUUCUUUUGCCUCCUGUAGAUAUUCUAUGUCCUGUAGUUGACAAUGACAAGCCUACUAUCACCAAUGCCAUUCAAACCCUCAAUCCUGUCUCUAGAAAAGUUUGUGAAAAGUCCAAUGUCUUUUCAUCUACAUAUGAAAUCGAUUCCCCUACAAGUGAAUUUUUAUGUAAUAUCUGUAAAACAUUAAUGCCUACUUAUGAUAAAGUUUUGAAGCAUUGUGGUGCUAAACAUCCUGGACUGAAGGUUCCUGUUCUUAAGUUAGUCCAUGGAGAGAGUAUGAAUGCCAAACAAAACUAUGAAAUUGCACAGUCCACCUCCUCGGAAGAGCUCAUAUUUCAAUGUAUGCAUUGCCAAAUUGAUUUUAAAACUGAGGAUGAGUUGAAAGCACAUAUCGUAGCUCAUGAUGUUUUGUCUUCCACCACGAACAAGUUUAAUAACUUGGAAGUUGAUAAAAUUAAUAAAGUGGGGGAAGAGUCACUCACGAAUGAAAUAGGAGUUGCAUUUCUAACAAGUAUUAUUAAAUGCGACCAUUGUGAUCGCGUGUUCACUUCAGUUGGCUCUAUGAAGCGUCACUCUUUGACUGCCCAUCCCAAAUAUGAGACUCCCUAUGAAUGUGCUAAGUGUAAUAAAAGAUUUCGUCAUUGUUCAAGUUAUUUAAGACAUAAGGUUCACACUCAUGGAGUUGGAAGUAAAAGUCUUGGCGGUGGAGGGAAGCCGAAACCAUUUAAGUGUGUAUCAUGUGACAAGGCUUGGAUGUACAAGUAUUUGUUGGAAGAACACAAUAGAAUCGUUCAUCAAGGUCUUAAGUCUACAUAUUCAUGUGAUACAUGUGGCAAGGGAUUUGGCAGAGCCAACAAUCUUAAAAAACAUAAAGACACUGUUCAUGCCACUUCGUUUGAUUUUAUUUGUGAUUAUUGUGGUAAAGCUUAUCCAAUCAAACAAUAUCUCCGAACUCAUAUUCGAGACUUUCAUUCUGAUAUACCUUCCGUGAAAGAACUCCUUGAAACCUCGCGCUUUAAAAUAAAAGAAUCUCAGCAAAAAAUUGUUUUUCGUCGAUCGGAUCCAAAAAAACGAUAUGAAUGCGACAAAUGUUGCAAAAAGUUCACACAUCGCUCCCUACUUGAGUGUCACAUCUCAAAUGUUCACGAGGGCAUUAAACCUUACUGUUGUCAUCUUUGUGGUAAAUCCAUUUCUACCAGAGCUAAUCUAAGACUUCAUAUUCUAAGACAUGAUGAAAAUCGCCCCAAGUUUAUUUGUGAGCUAUGUGGUAAAGAAUUUUUAAAUAAGCAAACGCUCAAAGAACACGUUUUAUACUCACAUGAAAAAACACCCAAAGAAAAGAACUACGGUUGUGAAAUAUGCGGGAAAAAGUUUUGGUUAAGGAAGGAAUUGAACAAACAUAUUAAAUUGGUCCACAAUAAGAUAUAUGACUACAAGUGUGAUAUAUGUUCACGUCCUUUUGGAACUGGAACACAUCUUAAAACUCAUAAAAAAACUGUCCAUGAUAAAAUUUAUGAAUAUAAAUGCCAUUUGUGUUCAGUUGAGUAUGGUCAUCAGCAGUCUCUCAAAAAACAUUUGGUUGCAGUACAUGAUAUCACAGACUAUAUGCCACCCAAAAAAAAUGUGAGUAUUCCUUUGAAAUCAUGAUCUAUGAUUUUGGUGUGAAUGUAAACGCAUGCAUGUCUGUCGAUACUCAGUUUAGCUAUUACCAAAAAGGAAAGUUGGUCUAUCAGCAAAGGUACAGGUAUUCAUUCUCUCUUUUCUUUGGAAAGCAAUUUCAGUUGUCGAUAUAUUAGGUAUUAUGGUUGAUUCGUAAUGAUGAACUUUACAAGAAAUAUAUCCCGCUUGUUUGAAGAAGUGUAUAUUGAUAGAUCAUGUUUUAUGUCCUGUGAAUCUUCUUCUUCUGAAAAUGGUUUUUUACUGCCCCCUUACGGAGACGAGCAUACUUUGGAAGCUUUUAAAUCUCUUGGAAACUUUUUUAUGUGCAUAGACUCUUGCCAGUGGAUUUUUUUUCAGAGAAGAAUCCUUCUACUAGGCCCUUUAAUAUUGAGUUCUCUUUCAGGAAUCAUACUUAUCUGCUCUUGCUGCUUUUGUAAAUGCUGCUGGCUAAACAAAUGCUGUAAGCAGUUAGAAAAAAAUCGAUCCAUCAGUCCUGCUCAUAAUGUUCCUGGUGUAUUCAUGAUUGACUAUAAUUAUGCAAAAAAUGAUUCCUUGACUAAUGUGUCAGUUAAUUCUUGGAUUAUGAAUUCAGGAAAAAAUCAACGCCAAAGAAAUCGGAUGAUGAGUGGAAGAAUGAUCUAUAAUGGUUAAAUAAUAGCAACUUCAAUUCAUUAUUUUAUACUUAUAUUAUGUAAAUUUGUUUUGUAUCUAUUAAUAUAUUAUAUAUUCAUAUAAAUAUAUAUUUUUUAAAUAUAGAUACUAUCGAAUUAA
rnacentral:misc_RNA from 1 species